GGUUUCCCUCCACUUCCUGUCUUAUGAAAAGAAGAAGCAUGAAGUACUUAAAAUGAUUUGGGUCAUUUUAUUUCUUUGGUUGUAAAGCAUGCAUCUGAAGAAUAUUAGUGUGAUCAAGACAAGGAUUCACGGAUUAAGACAUCCAUGAUCGACUGAGGCACGAGGUCCUCUUCAGAUAGAUUACUCACAAGCCCAUGCUGAAGAGGCUUCAGACCAAGGAAUUGGAAGUUGCCGCCUCUUGACAGCUUGCGCUUUAUUCUUCCCCCAUGAAAAGCAUUGUAAGUAAAGAACACCAGCAGUGGCUGCUGUAGC